UACGUAGGGACCAAGCGUUGUCCGGAAUCAUUGGGCGUAAAGCGCGCGUAGGUGGCCAUUUAAGUCCGCUGUGAAAGUCAGAGGCUCAACCUUUGAAAGCCGGUGGAUACUGGAUGGCUAGAGUACGGAAGAGGCGAGUGGAAUUCCUGGUGUAGCGGUGGAAUGCGCAGAUAUCAGGAGGAACACCAAUAGCGAAGGCAGCUCGCUGGGACGUUACUGACGCUGAGGCGCGAAAGCGUGGGGAGCGAACAGG
rnacentral:rRNA from 1 species